rnacentral:rRNA from 1 species
UGGGGAAUAUUUGGCAAUGGGUGUAAGCCUGACCAAGCAAUGCCGCGUGGAGGAAGAAGGCUUUCGAGUUGUAAUCUCCUUUUCUCAAAGAAGAAAUCUUGACGGUAUUUGAGGAAUAAGCAUCGACUAACUUCGUGCCAGCAGUCGCGGUAAUACGAGGGAUGCAAGCGUUAUCCGGAAUUAUUGGGCGUAAAGCGUCUGUAGAUGGUUAAACAAGUUUAAUGUUAAAUAUUAAAGCUUAACUUUGAAAUGGCAUUAAAAACUGUUAGACUGGAGUAUAUUAGGGGUAGAGGGAAUUUUCAGUGUAGUGGUGAAAUACGUAGAUAUUGAAAAGAACACCAAUGGCGAAAGCACUCUGCUAGGUUAAUACUGACAUUGAGAGACGAAAGCUAAGGGAGCA